UACGAAAGGGGCUAGCGUUGUUCGGAAUUACUGGGCGUAAAGCGCACGUAGGCGGCUACGUAAGAUGGGGGUGAAAUCCCGGGGCUCAACUCCGGAACUGCCUUCAUGACUGCAUGGCUCGAGGAUGCGAGAGGUUGGCGGAAUUCCGAGUGUAGAGGUGAAAUUCGUAGAUAUUCGGAAGAACACCAGUGGCGAAGGCGGCCAACUGGCGCAUUGCUGACGCUGAGGUGCGAAAGCGUGGGGAGCAAACAGG
rnacentral:rRNA from 1 species